AGAAUCAACGCUGGCGGCGUGCCUAACACAUGCAAGUCGCACGGAGAAAGGGGAGCAAUCCCUGAGUAAAGUGGCGCACGGGUGAGUAACACGUGAAUGAUCUACCUCCGAGUGGGGAAUAACCAAAGAAAUUUGGCUAAUACCGCAUAACACUUACGAGUCAAAGCAGCAAUGCGCUUGGAGAGGAGUUCGCGGCAGAUUAGCUAGUUGGCGGGGUAAUGGCCCACCAAGGCGAUGAUCUGUA
rnacentral:rRNA from 1 species